UAGGGAAUCUUCCGCAAUGGACGCAAGUCUGACGGAGCAACGCCGCGUGAUUUAGAAGGCCUUCGGGUUGUAAAAAUCUUUUCUAUGGGAAGAAAAUGACAGUACCAUAGGAAUAAGGACCGGCUAACUACGUGCCAGCAGCCGCGGUAAUACGUAGGUCCCGAGCGUUGUCCGGAUUUAUUGGGCGUAAAGCGAGCGCAGGCGGUUAGAAAAGUCUGAAGUGAAAGGCAGUGGCUCAACCAUUGUAGGCUUUGGAAACUGUUUAACUUGAGUGCAGAAGGGGAGAGUGGAAUUCCAUGUGUAGCGGUGAAAUGCGUAGAUAUAUGGAGGAACACCGGUGGCGAAAGCGGCUCUCUGGUCUGUAACUGACGCUGAGGCUCGAAAGCGUGGGGAGCGAACAGG
rnacentral:rRNA from 1 species